AGAACGAACGCUGGCGGCAUGCCUAACACAUGCAAGUCGAACGCCCCCUUCGGGGGGAGUGGCGCACGGGUGAGUAACGCGUGGGAACCUGCCCCGAGGUGGGAGAUAACCGAUGGAAACGUCGGCUAAUACCGCAUACGUCCUAAGGGAGAAAGAUUUAUCGCCUUGGGAGGGGCCCGCGUCGGAUUAGCUAGUUGGUGGGGUAACGGCCUACCAAGGCGAUGAUCCGUAGCUGGUCUGAGAGGAUGAUCAGCCACACUGGGACUGAGACACGGCCCAGACUCCUACGGGAGGCAGCAGUGGGGAAUAUUGGACAAUGGGCGCAAGCCUGAUCCAGCAAUGCCGCGUGAGUGAUGAAGGCCUUAGGGUUGUAAAGCUCUUUCGCCGCGACGAUGAUGACGGUAGCGGGAGAAGAAGCCCGGCUAACUUCGUGCCAGCAGCCGC
rnacentral:rRNA from 1 species